UGGUGGGUAGUUUGACUGGGGCGGUCUCCUCCCAAAGAGUAACGGAGGAGCACGAAGGUUAGCUAAUCCUGGUCGGACAUCAGGAGGUUAGUGCAAUGGCAUAAGCUAGCUUGACUGCGAGAGUGACGGCUCGAGCAGGUGCGAAAGCAGGUCAUAGUGAUCCGGUGGUUCUGAAUGGAAGGGCCAUCGCUCAACGGAUAAAAGGUACUCCGGGGAUAACAGGCUGAUACCGCCCAAGAGUUCAUAUCGACGGCGGUGUUUGGCACCUCGAUGUCGGCUCAUCACAUCCUGGGGCUGAAGUAGGUCCCAAGGGUAUGGCUGUUCGCCAUUUAAAGUGGUACGCGAGCUGGGUUUAGAACGUCGUGAGACAGUUCGGUCCCUAUCUGCCGUGGGCGCUGGAGAAUUGAGGGGGGCUGCUCCUAGUACGAGAGGACCGGAGUGGACGCAUCACUGGUGUUCGGGUUGUCAUGCCAAUGGCACUGCCCGGUAGCUAAAUGCGGAAGAGAUAAGUGCUGAAAGCAUCUAAGCACGAAACUUGCCCCGAGAUGAGUUCUCCCUGAGACUUUAAGUCUCCUGAAGGAACGUUGAAGACGACGACGUUGAUAGGUCGGGUGUGUAAGCGCAGCGAUGCGUUGAGCUAACCGAUACUAAUGAACCGUGAGG
rnacentral:rRNA from 2 species